AUGCGUCUGAAAUGUCAGCUGGAAUGUGAGCCCGGCGAGGAGAGAUGCUUAUUGAUGUCACAGCAAUGAACCUGCUGGAGAGACAGAAGAUGCCAGUGUAAGCUUAGACCUGGCUGGAGUUGACACUGGUGCAGACCAAGUUGUUAAGCCAGCACCCCACUCUGACCAUGACUAUGCUGAACUCUCGGUCACUGCAAGAGCAGCUAGAAGCAGCACGGAAGGAGAUUGCCCGCCUUACGCAGGAGAAUACCAUCCUCAAGGCAUCCUGUUUCAACU